UCCUGCAGUAAACACUGAGUGGCUCCUUAUGAAUGUUAAGAAUCCUUGCAGGAGGAUCUCAUGCCAAACACCAUAGUACAGGUCACCUUCAAGUUAUGCAGUCACCUUUAAGGUAUGCUUAACAUCAUCUUCUCGCUCAAGACAAGCAUACUUCUUUCCUUGUCAGAAGAACAGGCUCAGAAUCUGUUAUUAAGGCUCUGGUUGUUCAACCUUGCACCUUUGCUGCAUUAGAGAAUGAAAACAGACAGCAUUUCUUCUCUUGGAGCCUUGGACCUGAGAUGGCAAAGCAGAACAAGGCUGGAGGGUGAAGCCUGCAGAAUAUUGACAGUGAAUCUAAAUAUCUCAAAGUGAUACAAAGAUGACCACAGAAACAAGCUGUGAUCCAGUUCCAGAAUUUUGCUACUUCACACCAAAGUGGCACUCAAGGACGAGCAAACAUCUGGGAUUCUGAUGCAGCGUGAUUUGGAUGAACCUGCAGAAGUCCCUGACCAGCUCCCUCAGUACCAGCACGUGCAGGAUGGGAUAAAAGCACACAUAACCAUGAUGCUGUGAGUGCAUCUGAGAGGGGGGUUGGCUGAAUCCUGCCUUCCAUACUAUAAA